rnacentral:lncRNA from 1 species
AGGGCUGAUGGAGGCAAAGGAUAAAGCAGCCUUCUGUACGCUAAGAGAGCUCCAUGCUCAGAGUAGCCCGUUUCUCUCCUAGUAUGGGUGCUAGAGGUGUCUAGAUUUCUCUUUCUCGGAGCUGAAUCUCCCUGAUUCUUAGCUGAUCUGCACCAAUGUGGAGCUUUCCCUCGCAGACCUGAAGCAUGGCUGUACAGAGGCUACAAGGCAGAACAGUAAGCAUGAAUGGGCAGCUCACAUCAACUCUGGCGACAAAAAAAAAUGUCUCAUCCUAUAUGGUUUGGAAGCUUUAUAAGUGACCAUACCAACUAGAUAGAAAUGGAGCAACAUGGUCCCGUCUUACUGAGAGGAGAAAUCUCUACUGGAACACUCUUCCCUGCCAGCUUAAUACUCAGCACAAGGCAGAAGGAAUGCUUCUCACGAGCUUCACCAAGGGAGACGGGUGGCAAGCAUCUUUCAGGCGUUCCCAAGCUCGCCCCAAUUUGUGGAGACAGCUCUGGUACCAUGGCAUUUUCUGAUGACAACAACUCCCGAUGCAGCUGUACCAACGCUGCCGCUGAUAUAUCCAUUAAAAAGAGAAGCUUGUAAAAUCCAGAUUUGAAAUUCAAUAAGGAAUUCAGAGGAAAGUCUUGCUUUCAGGCCAUCUCCUGGCUAAAUGAAUAAAUGAAUAGGGAAACUAUUGCAUACAAAAAAAAAAUGUCAAAAGCUACCAAAGGAAGCUUUGCUCACUAAUGUUUCAAAAUAGCCCCGUCUGGAAAGGUAUGCUUUUAGACUAAGAAAGCAGAAAAAAACUAAUUAGACAAGAAGUAACCGUGAACAAACAUGUUAGCAGAACCAAUAACUGGAACUGAUCAGCUAUUUCUCUAAUUGUGCCAGCUGGACAGCUAUGAUGCGCUUAGCAGAGCAUAAUUACUAAUUUCUAUUCCAUACCCCAACCCUUUUCUUUCCUCUCCCUUUUGUAGAAAUACCCAGGCAUAUGCCACUUAAUAAAAUAAUAAUAACAUUCUGUAAAGGUAAAAA